GGGGAUGUAGUUCAGUGGGAGAACACUUGUCUGGCAGACAAGAGGUCAGCGGUUCGACUCCGCUCAUCUCCACCA
rnacentral:tRNA from 1 species